GUUGAACGCUGGCGGCAUGCCUUACACAUGCAAGUCGAACGGCAGCACGGGAGCUUGCUCCUGGUGGCGAGUGGCGAACGGGUGAGUAAUACAUCGGAACGUACCCAGGAGUGGGGGAUAACGUAGCGAAAGUUACGCUAAUACCGCAUAUUCUGUGAGCAGGAAAGCGGGGGAUCGCAAGACCUCGCGCUCUUGGAGCGGCCGAUGUCGGAUUAGCUAGUUGGUGAGGUAAAAGCUCACCAAGGCGACGAUCCGUAGCAGGUCUGAGAGGAUGAUCUGCCACACUGGGACUGAGACACGGCCCAGACUCCUACGGGAGGCAGCAGUGGGGAAUUUUGGACAAUGGGGGCAACCCUGAUCCAGCCAUGCCGCGUGAGUGAAGAAGGCCUUCGGGUUGUAAAGCUCUUUCGGCGGGGAAGAAAUGGCAACGGCUAAUAUCCGUUGUUGAUGACGGUACCCGCAUAAGAAGCACCGGUUAACUACGUGCCAGCAGCCGCAGUAACAC
rnacentral:rRNA from 1 species